UACGAAGGUGGCAAGCGUUACUCGGAAUUACUAGGCGUAAAGGGCGCGUAGGCGGCCCGCUAAGUCGAACGUGAAAUCCCCAGGCUCAACCUGGGAACUGCGUCCGAUACUGGCAGGCUUGAAUCCGGGAGAGGGAUGUGGAAUUCCAGGUGUAGCGGUGAAAUGCGUAGAUAUCUGGAGGAACACCGGUGGCGAAGGCGGCAUCCUGGACCGGUAUUGACGCUGAGGCGCGAAAGCUAGGGGAGCAAACGGGG
rnacentral:rRNA from 1 species